rnacentral:lncRNA from 1 species
UUUUAAGCUCUAUGCCGAGUCAAACUAAUUCAUAUAAUAUGAAACGGAGGGAGUAACUGGACUUAGCCCAUCAGAGCCCGGUUGCCUUAUCAAGAUUGAUUUUAUACCCUGCCUUCGGAUUUUGAUGAUUCCCUAGUUCUGACAGUUGCUAGAAAUUUUGAAGCCAAGGACACAAGCUCCAGUGAUUUUGAGAUCACAGGUACACAAAACUAAACAACAUACGAACUAUCUUUUUUUUUUUUUACGUACCCAUACUGCUCCAAUCACGUUGAUUGAGUGAAUAUUCAAGAGAAACAGUAGUUUAAUCAAAUAUUCUAAUGAUUAAGCGUACUUCUUAACAGAUAUGCAAAAGAUUGACUGUUGCAAAUCGUGGUGGAGGAGAAGAGUCAAUCUCUCAUUUCUCUUAGAAGACAAGUGAGGAAUAAUUCUUCUUUACUUCACUCAACUUGCUUAACUAAAAUGGCUAGUGUCUAGGUACUUAUAAGAUACUACAAGCAUGUACAUAGUCUAGUACAUGUAUCAUAAAUUAAUUCCAGAUUUAUCCUAUUCCCUAAUUAG